UGCUCAGCAACUUGUCGGAAGACGCUAACCACGUCAGUCGUGAGACUUGCAAUCAGGUGACAUCGUGUGAGCACGGUGCCCUGAGAUGUCCCACAACCGUUACCAAAACUUCUCUGGAGACCUCACAUUUACAUGGUGAAGGGAGAAGAGAGAGUUGCAGUCAGGCUUGCCCACUAGAGAGGACAGCGUGGUUAUCAAUCCACUUGGGGGAACUUUCCAAGAGGAGAAGAUCUUUCAGUUGAAUUAAAAGAGAAGAAGGAAGCUUGUGCCGUAUUGGUCAGGAGUGGGAUGUGUAUAUCCCAGCCUUGCAUCUGGACGACAGCAUCCUCCUGGUGAGGAGCUCAGCUUGUGUCCGUGAGGUCACUACCGUAACACCCGGUCACCAAGGGCCGCCUCAAAGGGAGAUGACGUGAGACACAUCUCCGCUUCCAAUACAGGAAAAAGGGGCUCUUGUCGUUGGGAGAGCUUAUCCUCCAGCUGGGGUCAUCUAACUGAUCCCCCUCUUGUCGAAUGCCUUGAUCACAUGCACCCACCAUGGAAGGAAGUUCAGGCUCAUGCUCCUUGACCUCACGAAGCCUCUAAGCCAUAGGCGUGUCCCUUACUGCGUGGGUGGUCAGUGGAACCCGUGUCCUGAGAGAACCCUUAUCUGUCAGGCGCCCCAGACUUCUUAUCUUAGACACAUGGAGAGCGGUAAAAGGACGUACAGAUGGCCACAGGGAGGGCCAAGCACAGUGAAAUUCAAUUUUGGAUUUUUCUGACUCUAACGUUUUUUUUUGGUAAAUAGUCUUAAAUGUGUAGCUACUCUUAUACGAACUGUAAUACGCAAAGGAGUUAUUUGGAAGUGAAAGCACUAUUUGAAGCAUGAGAAAUAUAAAACAAUGCUUAUUCCACAUACCUGAAGCAGUACUAACGUGAUUCUAACAGAGGAAAUAAUUUAUGAAAUCAACGUGCACUUUCUGGUCACGACCUAAGAUAAUUAGCAGGCACCAUUUCAAGAGAAACGUUUCUGUGACUUUGGGGGCAUCUCCUGGCCCAAGCGGCAGCCUCGCCCCCUGAGGGAGGAGCGGGAUCCCACGGGAGGGGUGCCUCCAUCCACCUGUCAUCCUGAAACUGCCCACCACGUGGGUGCUUUUCGAAGCCAAGGAACCAAACGCCCUUAAAGGAAGCACUGGCUUGGGAAACUCAGUGCGAAACCACCUGAGCGGAUCGGGAAAGGGUGAGGCAGGAUUCAAAUGAUGUCCAGACUCCGAACUUACGACGUUAACUCCCCACGCUCACCGGCAACGGCGGUUCACGUUACCCCUUCGGUGUACAACAGCUCUUUAAAUAACUGGAGGAAUCAGCACAUUUCUCAGACAAAAGGCUGAUUAACCUGACGGCACAACAUCCGCUGCAGCCGUUGGCCACACCAGACAGUGAGCCAGGCAGACCGAUGCUCUCGGCGCACCGAAGGCUAAACGACAGCCGUAAAACCAGGGCUUUGAAAUAAAUUGCUACUGACGCAUCAUGGUUUGGCUACGCCCUUCUCUGGCCAUUCGUGUGUGGGGUCUAACGUGUCGUCAAGCAUGGGCACUCUGCAGACACGGUAUUUGAACGGGAAUCCAGGCCAAGUCCGGCCCGAAGCUGUUCUCAGUCUGAGAGCGUCCAUUGAUGGAGAGCGACUCGCGGAGAGCACGUUUGUCACAGCAUGUACCCAGGUGGAAUGGCUGGCGAGCUGAGUGGGCAGCAAGAACUCUGGUCCCGCGGCGUUUGCCCAUCGGGGCUGGACGAUCUCCCUGAAGCGACAGUGAGAUUAAAAAAAAAAAUGCGAAAAGGAGAAGCCAAAUCAUUUCUUUCUGGAUCAGAAAAGGCAUUUAUUGGCUUCUCGAAUGCUGAACUAAAAUAUUUCCCGAGCUCUAAAGACCUACUGUAGGGAGCUUUACCUGUCGGGACCUGUAGCCUGUGACAGCUUCAGUCAUAGCUCAAAAGCUGCAUUGCUUCAGACUGGGUUUCAGCGACGUCAUCAUCAUGGAGAAAGUGAGCCUCCGGGACCUGGGUUCAGGUCUUGGCAGGUAUGCGCAGGUAGAAUGUACUGCAAAUAUUAUUAUUGUAACGUGUCUCUUGAUGAUACUGAACCAUCACAGAUUUUCUGUUGGAUGAUUCUGAACAAAUUUUUCCCUUGGGUUGAGUAGAUUUAGCAAUUAGGAGAUUGUGAUGACCCAAACAGUAAUUCCUUGGGCACACUUACUGAUAUUUAGGCAGAUGUCAGCUUUAGUAGAAUAAAGCUAACAGUUUCCAAAAGAGAUUUAUUAAAAAGACAACUCUCAUUAAAAAAAGAUAUGUCAUUAAAAGGUAUCUCAUAAUAUUUAUGAAAAGGUUUAGAAGGUGUUGUUCUUGAGUUUUUCUUUUUAAGAUAUAUUUUGUUUUU